rnacentral:piRNA from 1 species
UCCUGAUGGGUGAUCUUUGGUAGCC